rnacentral:tRNA from 1 species
GCCCGGGUGGCGGAAUAGGCAGACGCAGCAGACUUAAGAUCUGCCGCUCGCAAGAGCGUGCCAGUUCGACUCUGGCCCCGGGCACAA